rnacentral:sRNA from 1 species
CUCUCCACACAGGUGUCUGAGAGGGCUGAGGUGGGCAAGGCGCUGAGAGUCCAUGUCACCCUCACCAACACCUUAAUGGUGGCUCUGAGCAGCUGCACGAUGGUGCUGGAAGGAAGCGGCCUCAUCAAUGGGCAGAUAGCAAAGGACCUUGGGACUCUGGUGGCCGGACACACCCUCCAAAUUCAACUGGACCUCUACCCGACCAAAGCUGGACCCCGCCAGCUCCAGGUUCUCAUCAGCAGCAACGAGGUCAAGGAGAUCAAAGGCUACAAGGACAUCUUCGUCACUGUGGCUGGGGCUCCCUGAGCCCCGCCCUCCGGCUGCCCUCCCUGGCACUCCUGCCCCACCUGGCUCCUUUCUACUCCUGGCUAUGUCGUCUUGGCUCCACCUCUGUCCUCUCUCCAGCCUGCCUGGGAGUGAAUGAAGCUCUGUUAGAAACACCGUGUGCUUUGGGAAGAGACAAUAAAGACGUCUUUAUUUA